GUCCCCGUAGUUAAAUGGAUAUAACAAGAUCCUCCUAAGAUUUAGUUGUAGGUUCGAUUCCUACCGGGGACGCCA
rnacentral:tRNA from 2 species